rnacentral:rRNA from 1 species
CUAACAAGGAUGCCCUCAGUAACGGCGAGUGAAGCGGGCAAAGCUCAUCCUGAAAAUCGAAUUCCUAAGCGGGAUUUCGAAUUGUGGGAUAUAGACGUGUGAUCAGCGUGUAACCCAGGUAUAAAUCUCUUUGAAACGAGGUAUCAUAGAGGGUGAGAAUCCCGUCUGUGACUUGGAGUUUGCCGCGUACGACCUGCGUUCAGAGAGUCGCGUUGUUUGGGAUUGCAGCGCUAAAUGGGUGGUAAAUUUCAUCUAAAGCUAAAUAUCGACGAGAGACCGAUAGCGAACAAGUACCGUGAGGGAAGGAUGAAAAGAACUUUGAAAAGAGAGUUAAAAAGUACUUGAAAUUGCUAAGAGGGAAGCACUG